CAAUUGCCCAUAUAGUAAUUGUUUCUCCUCUCUUGAUCUUCUAUGUCCAUGUUUGUCCUUUACCAUUCUGGCACCUUUAGUUUUCUUUUCUUUCGUGCUUGUGCUUGAAUGAUUUCGUCGUUCAAGUCCCAAUAGGGCUUAUACUCUUACACGAUCAUCCACUAUUCUACAAAUCACUUAAGAUUCUUAAUCCUCAUGUUUUUUUUUUUGUUAUUAGAUGGACUUAAUGUGGACCUCUUGUUUUAAUUUGAAUAUGUGCGUCAGUACCUGAAAUACUUUUUAGCCCCAAGUUUCAGAAAAAGAAUGGGGAUUUGGAUGAGAUUUGAACAUUACAUUUCUAGGAUGCAAGGCAUUAGGCAGCGAGUGUGAUCUUAUAGCACUUUAGAUUUGUAGGAUGUCACAGUAUUUAAGUUUUUUUGAACUAUUAUUGCGUAUAUAGUACUUUUGAGUUUUGACAUAUGAAUCAAACUACUGAAUGAUAUAUGCAUCACUAUAAUUUAUCUCGUGAUAAAAGGCACAACUCAUGCUAUUUCUAGCCCUUAUAUA
rnacentral:lncRNA from 1 species